rnacentral:ncRNA from 1 species
AUUUAACCGUUGAAGAGGACUAGUAACUUAUAUAGCUUUUUUAAGAGAGUCAGUGGCUGGUGUAAACUGAUAGGCUGUAUUUGAGAAUCCACCUCUGAGGGACUGUGAAGAGCAGUACGGCAAAACCGUUAAAUGUAUAAGAGAGAACUGUCUUUAUGUGGCAGUUAAUUAGGGUGGCAACGCGGAGUCUUUCGUCCCUUUU